GACGAACGCUGGCGGCGUGCUUAACACAUGCAAGUCGAACGAAGUGGCGAACGGGUGAGUAAUACGUGGGUAACCUGCCCUCCUUUUUGGGAUAAGCCUUGGAAACGGGGUCUAAUACCGAAUAAGGGGGGAUGGGCUCGCGGCCUAUCGGCGUGUUGGUGGGGUGAUGGCCUACCAAGGCGGUGACGGGUGGCUGGCCUGGGAGGGUGCCAGGGCACAUUGGGAGUGAGAUACGGCCGAGGCUCCUACGGGUGGCAGCAGUGGGGGAUAUUGCGCAAUGGGCGAAAGCCUGAUGCAGGGACGCGGCGUGGGGGUUGAAGGCUUUCGGGUUGUAAACCUCUUUCGCAAUCGAACGGGUAGGUGCAGAAGAAGCGCCGGCUAACUACGUGCCAGCAGCCGCGGUAAUUC
rnacentral:rRNA from 1 species